UACAGAUUUGCUGAGAUUUGUUUUGUGGCCUAACAUCUGAUCUACCCUGAAGACACUUCCAUGUGCUGAUGGGGAGAAUGCAUACUCUUCAACUGUUGAGUGGGAUGUUCUGUGAAUAUCUAUAGAAUAAAUCUUCAGUAAUAAGAUUUUAUUUCAAAAGGUAAAAAAACUGAGGCUUAGAAACAUUGAAAAAAACUUGCUCAACGUUGCAAAACAAGAAAUUUGUGACAGGUUCCAACGUGGCUCAACAUGGCAGUUGCUGAUCCUGACUUUGCUUAAAAU
rnacentral:lncRNA from 10 species